UUAUAUACUAAAAUUAGUAAAAUUGGAACGACACAGAGUUGAUUAGCAUGGCCCUUGCGCAAUGAUGACACAAAAAAAUAAAAAUAGAAAAUUCAU